UACAGAGGGUGCAAGCGUUGUUCGGAAUUAUUGGGCGUAAAGCGCGUGUAGGCGGCUUUGCAAGUCGGGUGUGAAAGCCCUCAGCUCAACUGAGGAAGUGCGCCCGAAACUGCAGGGCUUGAGUACCGGAGAGGAUGGCGGAAUUCCCCAAGUAGAGGUGAAAUUCGUAGAUAUGGGGAGGAACACCGGUGGCGAAGGCGGCCAUCUGGACGGUCACUGACGCUGAGACGCGAAAGCGUGGGUAGCAAACAGG
rnacentral:rRNA from 1 species